CGGCGGAGGAGGGGCGGAUGGAGGGAGGAUGCCCGGCGCGGAGGCCGCUGGCCGUCGGGGACGUGUGAAGGGCCCUGGGGCCUGGGCCUCGGCCUCCGAGGGCUGGGGCUGGGCGGGGGAGGGGCCCAGCUGAGCUCCGCCUCUGCGGCCUCCCCAUCCAGGCAUCCGCGCCUGGGACGUGGAUCUUGGCGUCUGCAGCCUUGACCAGGAGCUCAAGACCUUCGUGUCCCAGCACUCGGCCACCUUCUCCAGCAUCGUCAGAGGGCAGCGGAGCCUGCAUCACCGCGGAGAUGCCCUGGAGACCCUGGUCCUUCUGAACCCAUCGGACAAGUCCCUGUGUGAUGAGCUCCGGAACCUUCUGCUGGUCCCUGCCCCUCACAAGCUGCUGGUGCUGGCUGGGGCCUGCCUGGGGGAGACUGGGGAGCUGCUGCUCCAGACAGGGGGCUUCUCGUCCCACCACUUCCUGCAGAUCCUGGAGGAGAGGGAGGUGAGUCCUGCUCCCCUCUGUGGAGCAGUGGCAGUGUCCUGCAUGCCCUGGUGUCAGAGCAGCGCCUCUCUCCGGGGAAGGGAGGCCUGGGCUGUCCGCAGAGAGGAGAAGGAGGGGGUCCCAGUGUCCCCACGGGGCUGGGCAUUCUGGCUCCAGAAGCCCUAUCCUACUCCUCACCGCAGAUCCGGGACCUGCUGGGCCGCACCCCUGCCUCGGCUGAGCCGCCCACGCUCACGCUCGGCUGCCCGCCUUUCGGGGCCUGGGCGCAGCUGUGCGCCGCCGAAGCGGGCCUGCUUGGGCAUCGGCUGCGGCUCA
rnacentral:lncRNA from 1 species